rnacentral:rRNA from 1 species
UGCCCAGACUCCUACGGGAGGCAGCAGUAGGGAAUAUUGCUCAAUGGGGGAAACCCUGAUGCAGCAACGCCGCGUGGGUGAAGGAGCGUUUCGGCGCGUAAAGCCCUGUCAGCGGGGAAGAAGAAAGACGGUACCCGACCAAGAAGCCCCGGCUAACUCCGUGCCAGCAGCCGCGGUAAUACGGAGGAUGCGAGCGUUAUCCGGAUUUAUUGGGUUUAAAGGGUGCGUAGGCGGACUGUUAAGUCAGCGGUAAAAGCCGGGGGCUCACCCCCGGCGAGCCGUUGAAACUGGCUGUCUUGAGAUGUCGAGAGGUAUGCGGAAUGCGCAGUGUAGCGGUGAAAUGCUUAGAUAUUGCGCAGAACUCCGAUUGCGAAGGCAGCAUACCGGCGGCGAUCUGACGCUGAGGCACGAAAGCGUGGGUAUCGAACAGGAUUAGAUACCCUAGUACU